UAGACGAAACGAGAAGAACCUUACCUACUGUCGACAUCCAGAGAACUUUACAGAGAUGGAUUGGUGCCUUCGGGAACUGUGAGACAGGUGCUGCAUGGCUGUUGUCAGCUUGUGUUGUGAAAUGUUGGGUUAAGUCCCGCAACGAGCGCAACCCUUAUCCUUUGUUGCCAGCGGUCCGGCCGGGAACUCAAAGGAGACUGCCAGUGAUAAACUGGAGGAAGGUGGGGAUGACGUCAAGUCAUCAUGGCCCUUACGAGUAGGGCUACACACGUGCUACAAUGGCGCAUACAAAGAGAAGCGACCUCGCGAGAGCAAGCGGACCUCAUAAAGUGCGUCGUAGUCCGGAUUGGAGUCUGCAACUCGACUCCAUGAAGUCGGAAUCGCUAGUAAUCGUAGAUCAGAAUGCUACGGUGAAUACGUUCCCGGGCCUUGUACACACCGCCCGUCACA
rnacentral:rRNA from 1 species